rnacentral:rRNA from 1 species
UGGCCAGACUCCUACGGGAGGCAGCAGUGGGGAAUAUUGCACAAUGGGGGGAACCCUGAUGCAGCGACGCCGCGUGGGUGAAGGAGCACCUCGGUGCGUAAAGCCCUAUCGGCAGGGAAGAAAAGCGAACAGGUUCGCCUGGACGGUACCUGACUAAGAAGCCCCGGCUAACUACGUGCCAGCAGCCGCGGUAAUACGUAGGGGGCAAGCGUUAUCCGGAUUCACUGGGUGUAAAGGGAGCGUAGACGGCGGCGCAAGUCUGGAGUGAAAGCCCAAGGCUCAACCAUGGGACUGCUUUGGAAACUGUUAAGCUAGAGUGCUGGAGAGGUAAGCGGAAUUCCUAGUGUAGCGGUGAAAUGCGUAGAUAUUAGGAAGAACACCAGUGGCGAAGGCGGCUUACUGGGCAGUAACUGACGUUGAGGCUCGAAAGCGUGGGGAGCAAACAGGAUUAGAUACCCCAGUAA